rnacentral:rRNA from 1 species
AUACGGGGGGGACUAGCGUUGUUCGGAAUUACUGGGCGUAAAGAGUUCGUAGGCGGACUGAUAAGUAAGAGGUGAAAUCCCAGGGCUCAACCCUGGAACUGCCUUUUAAACUGUCAGUCUAGAGACCGGAAGAGGUUAGGGGAAUACCUAGUGUAGAGGUGAAAUUCGUAGAUAUUAGGUGGAACACCAGUGGCGAAGGCGCCUAACUGGUCCGGUACUGACGCUGAGGAACGAAAGCGUGGGGAGCAAACAGGAUUAGAAACCCUAGUAGUCC